rnacentral:rRNA from 1 species
AUUGAACGCUGGCGGCAGGCCUAACACAUGCAAGUCGAGCGGAUGAAGGGAGCUUGCUCCUGGAUUCAGCGGCGGACGGGUGAGUAAUGCCUAGGAAUCUGCCUGGUAGUGGGGGAUAACGUCCGGAAACGGGCGCUAAUACCGCAUACGUCCUGAGGGAGAAAGUGGGGGAUCUUCGGACCUCACGCUAUCAGAUGAGCCUAGGUCGGAUUAGCUAGUUGGUGGGGUAAAGGCCUACCAAGGCGACGAUCCGUAACUGAUCUGAGAGGAUGAUCAGUCACACUGGAACUGAGACACGGUCCAGACUCCUACGGGAGGCAGCAGUGGGGAAUAUUGGACAAUGGGCGAAAGCCUGAUCCAGCCAUGCCGCGUGUGUGAAGAAGGUCUUCGGAUUGUAAAGCACUUUAAGUUGGGAGGAAGGGCGGUAAGUUAAUACCUUGCUGUUUUGACGUUACCAACAGAAUAAGCACCGGCUAACUUCGUG